AAUGUGUUAUUAUCACGGUUAUGUAAAUUAAAAUCCAUGUGAAGUUUUUUUGGACAAAAUAUUUGUAUACUUAUAUGAAAUAAUUUGUUUCUUUUCAUUUUCUUACAGCAAUGAUUGAUAGUGUAGGUCGGCCGGUGAGGGGAAGGUCAACAAUUUGUUGUCAACACUCAAUAUAACAACAAUUGGAAAUAAAACAUGAAAAGAAAUGGAGAGACGUGUUGGAAAUAUCAUUGAGACAGUGGCUUCUAUGUCAUCAGAAUCUGCUGCGAAAGAUCAAGGAAAUGGAGGAUGUGCAUCAUGAAGAAUCAAUGGUAUCAGAACACAACAUCAUGGAAGGUCUUAUUGACAAGAUCUUGGAGGAUGUCCUUUGCCAGAUGCCUCGCCAGCACUAAAGUCUAUUCUUCAGUCAGAUGCUACAGUUACAAAUGACAGUGAAUGGUCAGAUUUAUACAAUUGUGAUGAACAAUCCUCAACAAUACAUCAAACAAAAAUGCCUAUUAAACUUUCUCACAGACAGUCAAAGGUUGAAAACAAAUCAGAAGUGGUCCACAUCUUGAAAAACCUCACAGCAGAUUAAGACUUUCCCCAAAAUUUCCCUGUAAAACCCGCAGUGGUAUGUCCAGUGCAGUAGAUACUGCCUGGCACAAAAGAGGAUUUGACAGUUUAACAUUGUACUGCAUCAAUAAACUAAAUAUGGAGAGUAGCUUAGUCACCAAAGCAGUCAACACCAAAAUACACACAAUGGCCAGGGCACUGAAACUUGGAAGAGUGAAAGAGUAAAGUAGUGCGUUUUUAGCUUACAAAGUGACAUUGCGAGCUUUUGUCUAUCUUUCGUCCGUAAACUUGAUCUUUAAACAACAUCUCAUAAAUUGCCAAGCCAAUUUCAUGCAAACUUACGAUAUUGUCUAGUCAGUUUUUGUUUUGCUUGCAAUCGUUAUAUGACAUGACUAAAGACAUUUAGUUUUAUUCUUAAGUUAUUAUGUUUAUGUUUGUAUAAGACCCAAAUAUAUUGUUAAGAUUCAUUUUUACAAAUUUGAAAGCCAUUAUUGUUCUAGUCAGUUUUUGUUUUGCUUGCAAUCGUUAUAUGACAUGACUAAAGACAUUUAGUUUUAAUCUUUAAUAUUAAAUUAUGUCUAUAUUUGUAUAAGACCCAAAAAUGUUGUUAAGAUUCAUUCUUACAAUUUUGAAAGCCAUUAUUGCUCUAGUCUGUUUUUGUUUUGCUUGCAAUCGUUAUAUUUAGUUUAAAUCUUUAGUUAUUAUGUCUAUGAGGGGCAUCCGUGGCCGAGUGAUUAAGGUCAUUGACUUCAAACCACUUGCCCCUCACCACUGUGGGUUGGAAUCCCGACAGGGACUUUGGAUUCUUUCAUGUGAGGAAGCUAUCCAGCUAGCUUAACUGAACGUCGGUGGUUCUACUCAGAUACCCGUUCGUGCCUGAAAUAAUGCAAGGAAGGGCACCUGAACGUCACGAUAUGACCUAUACUGUGUCGAUGUGACGUAAAAACCCAAAACAAACAAACAAAAAAUUAUGUCUAUGAAAUUAGUUGUUUGUAUAAGACCCAAAUAUAUUGUUGUGAUUAAUUUUAACAAUUUUGAAAGCCAUAAUUGUUCAUGUCAGAUAUUGUUUUGCUCACAAUCAUAAUGUUAUAUGACAUGAGUUUAAAUCUGAAGGUAUUAUGUCCAUGAAAUAUGUUGUUUGUAUAAGACCAAAAUAUAUUUUUGAGAUUCAUUUUUACAAUUUUGAAAGCCAUUAUUGGUCUAGUUUGUUUUUGCAUAACACAUAACGCUAUUGUUAGUAUUUAUUGUUAUUAAUAGUGAUUUGUAUAAGUGGAUGUCGAAGUAUGUAUGUUAUUCCAUGCCAGUUCAUGUUUGAAUGAAACUUUUUGUCCAGAUAGAAGAUUUCAAACUGUAACUUUUCUGAUUUUUAGCUUUUACAACAAUAUUAUAUUUCCCAUUUUUGGUGCUAAGAAAUACUGCAACAUGUGCUGAAUAAUAGCUAUUGUCAAACAUUGUUUUUAUGCUCCCCGAAAAAUUUCGGGGGAGCAUAUAGUCAUCGGGUUGUCCGUCCGUUUGUCUGUACAUACAUACGAACCCGAAUUCGUGUCCAGCCCAUAACUUUGUUAUUUCAAGUUGGGUUUUAAAACUAUUUCACAGAAAUGAUCACCAUAUUGAGACGACGUGUCGCCCGCAACAUUUGGGUCGCUACCUUGAAGGUCAAGGUCACACCAUGACCUUGAACAAAAAUUAUGUCCGGCCCAUAACUUCGUUAUUUGAAGUCGGAUUUUAAAGCUAUUUAAAAGUAAUGAUCACCAUAUUGAGACGGUGUGUCAUGCGCAACAUUUGGGUUGUUACCUUGAAGGUCAAGGUCACAGCAUGACCUUGAACAAAAAUUGUGUCCGGCCCAUAUCUUGGUUAUUUGAUGUCGGAUUUUACAACUAUUUCACAGAAAUGAUCACCAUAUUGAGACGAUGUGUCGCACACACCAUUUGGGUCAAUACCUUGAAGGUCAAGGUCGCAACAUGACAUUGAAGCAAAAUGGUGUCCGGCCCAUAAAUUCGUUAUUUGAAGUCGGAUUUUACAACUAUUUCACCGAAAUGAUCACCAUAUUGAGAUGAUGUGUCACACGCAACAUUUGGGUCAUUACUCGAAGGUCAAGGUCACAGCAUGACUUUGAAGCAAAAAUGUGUCUGGCCCAUAGCGUCGUUAUUUGAAGUGGGAUUUUACAACUAUUUUGGAAUUAUCAGACUUUGAACUUUGUCUGGGACAUAACCCUGAAACUUCAAAAGAUAUACUUUUCUGUGUCCAAAUCCUAGUCGGGGAGGAUCACCCCGGUUCAAUAGGCUCUUGUUUUAAUUGAUUAUUAAGUAAUAUGAACAAUUCAUGAUAGCAUCAUAACUAAAGAGUGGAAAUUUAUGAAAGUCAAAUAUGUAUAGAAUCAGUUGCUAAUAAAAUGUGUGUAAAAUUUAUCUCUUUUUUUUAACUCGGGAAUUAAUUUCUUUAUUUUACAAAUUUAUCAAAUUUCAUUUUAUUCUACUGAUAUGUUUGUAAUAUUUCUUUUAUUUUCUAUUGAAAAAAUGUGUUAAACCAAUA